CAGAAAAUGCUAACAUCUUCUCAUGUGAUUCACAUUUGAAUCACAUUUGAGAUGUGUUAGAUUUCUAUGCAAAUUUUUAUUUUCACAUGUGGUUAUGUUAGCUCACACUUGAAAGAAAUUUCAAACCUAAAAUUCUCACGUGAGAUUUUACUUCAAAUGUGAGAAUUAAAGCAAUGUAUAAUUGUUACUCUGAAUUCACUUUUUCACAUGUGAUCCUAACAUUGAAAUUUUGUCUUAGUUAAUUGUUCAAGAUUUGCUCCUUGCAUGAAAAGGAGAAGUAUAAAAUUCACAUGUGAUUGUUUGUUUGAUAUUGGACUUAGAAAAUGUUAUUAAGCUGGAAAUUUCUGGGAUGUACGUGUAAGUCCAAAAUUCACAUGUGAGACUCAGCUGGUUAGAAUAUAAAAGAAAAACCCGAGAGAAGGAAGGUGGGGUGGUUAUUUUUUUUCAAAUAUUGAAAUAUUUGUACUAAAUUAUCCUUUAAAAAAAGGUUUCAUACUACCCAGUUCAUUUAGUACAUGUACCAUAUUUGGUCAUUUUAGUAUACAGCAAAGAGCCACAUAGCAAUGAAAAUCAGUAUUUGAUCUGCACAGUAAAAAAAAUAAAAUAAUGAAUUAUGGCAUUAUGAAUUUAAUUACACAGCUCUACACUUGUUUUAAAACAGUUUUAUAUUGAACUAUGAUCAUUAUUUUAGUUUAACUUUUAUAUUGUUAAUUUUUCAUUUCUACAUGCCACCUUAUCAUUUAAUUAAGAUAAUCUUAAAAUUGUACAAUAGUUUUUUAAAACAAAAAACAAAACAAAAACAACAACUUUUCAAAUCUGUUCAUCACACACUGGUAGACACCAAUUGGUAGCAUCACAUUGAUAAGGGGGGAUUGUCCAGUCUCUGAAAUCUGAGAGUCACAGCGGGAAGCCCAGCAGGAGCUAUCUGUAGUGCGGGGCAGUCAGAGAUCACUUUAGCCAGGCCAUGCGGCCAUGAAGUGAGGAUCGCGCCAUGUACAACAUAACUAAAACAGGUCUUUUGUGGAAACAACUGUGAAAAAAACUCUGUCAAAAUUUGGAUAUGGCAUUUUCUCAAAAACUGGACUUUCUGCAACAUUUUCAUUCUGGAUGCAUGAUGUGCAGGCCUGAGACAUAUGAUCAAAAACCCUUAAGCUGAUUGUACUGAAGGAUUAAUUGUUCAUGAAUAAUUAAAUAAAGCUCGGUCAAAAAAAGGAUGUUGCAGACUGCCAGGGUCCAGAAGACGAAGAAGAAAGAGGAAAAACCGGACUAAUUCCGACUACAUCGCUUACUGCAUUAUCUACAGUUACUGUGUUAUUAAUUAUAUAUUAAUAAAAACAAUUUUAU